rnacentral:rRNA from 1 species
GAUAUCUCAUAUCCCACGGAAUGCAUACUCUCUAGCCAGACACAAAAAUUGCAACUGUCUGCUGUCCACAAGCUGCUGAAAAAUCUGAGCCAAGGGAAUGCAGUUAAGCAGCCUCAGCUGCUGAGAGGCCAGGUGGCAGCCCCCUUAUCCCAGCGCACCUGCCACAUGGCGGGCUUCUACUGGGUCCACAGAUGCCCUCAUCCGCUGAGGCUCCACCUCACAUCGGAAUAAGAUUUCCCUGGUCCCACCCCCGCCCAGCCUCAGGCGCACGUUCCUCUCUCCUUUUGUAGCAGUGGGUGAGUUUUGGAGCAAACACUUUCAUCUCAGUCUGUACCACACACCACGCCUGCCUCAUCUCUCGGAGCAGGAGGAGGAGCUUGCAGGAACAAUGGCAGCCCAGGGUCUUCUCUCUGGGAGGCAGCUGCUGGGGAGGCCUCUGCAGUCCUCCAUCUCCAGGUCGUCUUCCUCCCGGAAGUCCCCCUUCGUCGUCAGGGCAUCGUCCAGCCCCCCUGCCAAGCAAAAUGACAACAGGCAGCUGUGGUUCGCGUCCAAGCAGUCCCUCACCUACCUCGACGGCACGCUGCCCGGUGACUUUGGUUUCGACCCCUUGGGGCUGUCCGACCCGGAGGGCACCGGCGGGUUCAUCGAGCCCAGGUGGCUGGCCUACGGCGAGAUCUUCAACGGCCGGACGGCGAUGAUGGGGGUGGUGGGCAUGAUCGCCCCGGAGGCCCUGGGCAAGGUGGGCCUGGUGCCCCCGGAGACGGCGAUCCCGUGGUUCCAGGCAGGCGCGAUCCCGCCGGCGGGCACCUACCAGUACUGGGCCGACCCAUACACGCUCUUCGUGUUCGAGAUGGCGCUCAUCGGCUUCGCGGAGCACCGGCGGCUCCAGGACUGGUACAACCCGGGCUCCAUGGGGAAGCAGUACUUCCUGGGCCUUGAGAAGUACCUCGGCGGCUCCGGCGACCCCGCCUACCCCGGCGGGCCCAUCUUCAACCCGCUCGGGUUCGGGACCAAGAGCGAGAAGGAGAUGAAGGAGCUCAAGCUCAAGGAGAUCAAGAACGGCCGCCUCGCCAUGCUCGCCUUCCUCGGCAUGUCCCUGCAGGCCAUCUUCACCGGCGUCGGGCCCUUCCAGAACCUCCUCGACCACCUCUCAGACCCCGUCAACAACAACAUCCUCACCAGCCUCAAGUUCCACUAGGCGAAAUCGAUCCGAUCCGAUCCGAGCAUCGUCGUCCUGUGCAUGGUACCCGUCGUCGUGGGAAACGUGAGCGUGCGAGAGGUAUAUAUGCGAGGGUGGGUGUAAAAUGUAAAUUUGUACGCGUGCUGCGUGCAUGCUUGUAAUAUUUAUAUCGUGCUACGAAAAUUAGUGCAUUGCAUCUCUCGUCAUCUUCAUCAACAUCUGUGUCUUUCUUUCCCCGCUCCUCUUCUGGUUAUCGUACGUGCAAUUAGGCGGCUAGGUUUUGACGAUAGUGGCCGUAUCUUCUUUAUAAUUCUCAUGAAUAAAAUGGUUAUUUACAAAUGAGAAAUUUUAAAGCUACAUGUGAUUUUUC